rnacentral:rRNA from 2 species
CGGCGAGUGAAGCGGCAACAGCUCAAAUUUGAAAUCUGGCUCCUUUGGGGUCCGAGUUGUAAUCUGUAGAGGGUGCUUUGGCGUUGGUUGUGGUCUAAGUUCCUUGGAACAGGACGUCACAGAGGGUGAGAAUCCCGUACGUGGCCGCCAGCCUUCGCCGUGUAAAGCCCCUUCGAUGAGUCGAGUUGUUUGGGAAUGCAGCUCUAAAUGGGAGGUAAAUUUCUUCUAAAGCUAAAUAUUUGCCAGAGACCGAUAGCGCACAAGUAGAGUGAUCGAAAGAUGAAAAGCACUUUGGAAAGAGAGUCAAAAAGCACGUGAAAUUGUUGAAAGGGAAGCGCUUGCAGCUAGACGUGCCUUGGGUUGAUCAGCCGGACUUUUGCCCGGUGCACUCUUCCUUUGGCAGGCCAGCAUCAGUUUGGGCGGCUGGAUAAAGGUCUGUUAAACGUGACUUCCUUCGGGGAGAGCUUAUAGGGCAGACGACAUGCAGCCAGCCUGAACUGAGGUCCGCGCAUCUGCUAGGAUGCUGGCAUAAUAGCUGUAAGCGGCCCGUCUUGAAACACGGACCAAGGAGUCUAACAUCUAUGCGAGUGUUUGGGUGUCAAGCCCGAGCGCGUAAUGAAAGUAAACGGAGGUGGGAACCUUUUAGGUGCACCAUCGACCGAUCUUGAUGUCUUCGGAUGGAUUUGAGUAAGAGCAUAGCUGUUGGGACCCGAAAGAUGGUGAACUAUGCCUGAAUAGGGUGAAGCCAGAGGAAACUCUGGUGGAGGCUCGCAGCGGUUCUGACGUGCAAAUCGAUCGUCAAAUUUGGGCAUAGGGGCGAAAGACUAAUCGAAC